rnacentral:rRNA from 1 species
AGCGAACGUUUGCGGCGGGCCUAACACAUGCAAGUCGAAAGGGUUAGCAAUAACCAGUGGCGCACGGGUGCGUAACACGUAGGUAAUCAACCCCUCGGUUCGGGAUAACGUUCUGAAAGGAGCGCUAAUACCGGACGUGUCUUCGGGAGCUUCGGCUCCUGUCGAGAAAGACCCUCAAGGGUUGCCGAGGGACGAGCCUGCGGCCCAUCAGCUAGUUGGCGAGGUAAUAGCUCACCAAGGCGAAGACGGGUAGCUGGUCUGAGAGGAUGAUCAGUCACACUGGAACUGAGACACGGUCCAGACUCCUACGGGAGGCAGCAGUGGGGAAUAGUGCGCAAUGGGCGAAAGCCUGACGCAGCCACGCCGCGUGAGCGAUGAAGGCCUUCGGGUCGUAAAGCUCUGUGGGGAGAGACGAAGAAAGCCUGUGAAGAGCAGGCCUUGACGGUAUCUCCUUAGCAAGCACCGGCUAACUCCGUGCCAGCCGCCGCGGUAACAC